GAGGAAGCCUAACGGUCAUCUGUGCGCGCGGCUGCGGCUCGCCUGCCGGUCAGCGCUCCUCACAACGGGGCUGUGGGAAAAAGUAGAAUUAAAGGUGUUUUUCUCUCUCAAAUGUUUGUGAGUGAUCCUCGUCCCAGGAGUUGAGCUUUCCUUGUGACAAACACGAGCCAGUGCAGCCAAGAGGCAGUUCUCUGAGGCGAUGCAGCAGUCUCAGACGUGCAUGUUUGCCCCCUUUGCUUCUUUUUGGUCACAAGAACACUACUUCAAGAAACCGUUUUUGAUCCUAAACUAUCACGUCGAGCUAGGACUGCAGGACACAGCCAGACACCGUGAAACAGGACCGCACUCCAGCCCUGCAAAGACAACGUGGCCCGGGGUUAGGCACCCAGCAGGAGGAUCCAGCUUGACAUUUGAAAGCUUGUCUAAGUAUUUAUACAGAAGUCACCAGGAGAUGGAGCCAAUAGAGAGCCUCUAAGACUCCACCAUCUACACGACCCUGCCCUCUUACGGAUUUACACAGGAGAGACAACCUGCGCACUUUUUCGGGGGUAAAACUGGGAAGCAGAAGAGAGAACCACUACUUUAUCUCUUCCACUCUCAAUUCCAAGUCUCAGAAAACCUGAGUUUUGCCUACUGAAGGCACUUCAACACACACUGAUCAAUUUAAGUAAAGACCAAACACCCACAUAUGCUUCUAGUGGCCUCCCCUCUCCAUUCGGUAAAAUGCAAAAGCCUUGGUUUUAAUGUAAGCUACUUAAUUUGAUGUGCAAAUAUAUUAAGCAAAUUUAGUAGUGCACAUAAAUGCUGAGGGAUUUCUGUGUUCUGUUUUUAACUUACCCGCAUAUGGAGCCAUUCCUACAAUAGUUGGCAUCAGCCCUCUGUAGAACCCACUAAAACCACCUUCCUUUGAAAGAAAAAUACAUUCACGUUUGUGGCAAGAAAUACAACAAAUGUCUUAAGCUAUACAUCUGUACAGAUUCACAACAGCAAUCUGACUAGCAUCAUGUAGCAACAAGAAGCUAACAUCAAGUUGCAU
rnacentral:lncRNA from 1 species